GACGAACGCUGGCGGCGUGCUUAACACAUGCAAGUCGAACGGUGAUGCUCCAGCUUGCUGGCGUGGAUCAGUGGCGAACGGGUGAGUAACACGUGAGCAACCUGCCCCAGACUCUGGAAUAAGCGCUGGAAACGGCGUCUAAUACUGGAUACGAAACUGGCCCGCAUGGGCAUGGUUUGGAAAGUUUUUCGGUUUGGGAUGGGCUCGCGGCCUAUCAGCUUGUUGGUGAGGUAAUGGCUCACCAAGGCGACGACGGGUAGCCGGCCUGAGAGGGCGACCGGCCACACUGGGACUGAGACACGGCCCAGACUCCUACGGGAGGCAGCAGUGGGGAAUAUUGCACAAUGGGCGAAAGCCUGAUGCAGCGACGCCGCGUGAGGGAUGACGGCCUUCGGGUUGUAAACCUCUUUCAGUAGGGAAGAAGCGAAAGUGACGGUACCUGCAGAAGAAGCACCGGCUAACUACGUG
rnacentral:rRNA from 1 species